GGCGGUGUAGCUCAGGUGGUUAGAGCAUGCGGCUCAUACCCGCAGUGUCGUAGGUUCGAGUCCUACCACCGCCACCA
rnacentral:tRNA from 1 species